rnacentral:rRNA from 1 species
CCUACGGGGAGCUGCAGUGGGGAAUAUUGGACAAUGGGCGAAAGCCUGAUCCAGCCAUGCCGCGUGUGUGAAGAAGGCCUUCGGGUUGUAAAGCACUUUCAGUGGGGAAGAAAGCCUUGGGGCUAAUACCCUCGAGGAAGGACAUCACCCACAGAAGAAGCACCGGCUAACUCCGUGCCAGCAGCCGCGGUAAUACGGAGGGUGCGAGCGUGUAAUCGGAAUUACUGGGCGUAAAGCGCGCGUAGGCGGUCUGAUAAGCCGGUUGUGAAAGCCCCGGGCUCAACCUGGGAACGGCAUCCGGACCGUCAGGCGAGAGGUCAGGGGAGGAAGGUAGGAAUCCCGGGGGAGGCGGGGAAAGGGGAGAGGUCGGGAGGAAAGACCGGGGGGGAGGCGGGCUUCUGGACUGACAAUGGAGGCGGGGUUGGGAAGCGUGGGUAACCAACCGGGUUAGGUACCCUAGUAGUC